GGCUUCGUCGCUCAGCUGAUAGAGCAUUCGCGUUCAAAGCGCAGACGGCGUCCAUCCGUAGGUUCGAAUCCCACCGAGGCUA
rnacentral:tRNA from 1 species